rnacentral:sRNA from 1 species
UCAGAAUGGAGAUAGAAAUCAAGUUGCGUUCGCCCUAGUUUUCUCCCAGUCACAAUUUACGAGGCGUCGCUUGAAGAAUUUCAGAAUAGCAUUCCCUGGCCGGCGAAGCUUCUCCGGCGUCCCUCCCUCCUAAUCGGUUCAGUCUCAACUCUCUCGAGCUUUCCAGCAGUCACUAAAGCUCUUCCAACGGUUUUCGGUGAGAUUUCUCUCUCUUGAUGGUUUGUCGGAAGCUUUCUCCUCCUCUCGCUUCCCUUUGCCUGAGAUUUUCUCCGGUGUUGCUGCCUGAUUUUCCUGCUAAACUGGAACCACCGGACUUGCUAACAUCUCAAAUCUGUCUCGUCUCGGUUUUCCUGUCUACUUGUUAACAAUCUUCAAUGCCUAUUGGUGGCAUAUCCUUCGCCGUCAGACGACCCUUUACUGCAUACCCUUUAAAAAAAAUAAGUUAAAUAUAUAUACGAUAGUUUUAUUCUAUUUAUUCUUGAGC